UGGGACACCGGUUCCUGUACGUUCACCGAAGUUAAGCAAUGUCCAGCUUGGUCAGUAACUAAAUGGGUGACCGCGCGGAAAUAACAGGUGUUGUAAG